UCCUCAUCCUCUCCCUCUCUCGAGACUCCGACAAGCCGCCUCCAUCUCCGCAGCCGAUCGUGACGCCGACGACAGCCAGGCAGCCUUCCUCAUCCUCUCCUCCUCCACUUGGAUCCGAUCGGCGACAAUCGUCACCAUUGUUGUCAUUUCGAGGAUUUCAGAACAUAAAGUAGAAGAAGCACUUUUGGCAUUUGACGCAGAAGAAAAAAGAUGUGCAGAGUUGAAUGACUCUGGAGAAAAUUCAUCUGAUGAAAUUUCAGCUUAUAAGGCAAACUUCUUAAAAAGAAAGGCUGAAUGAUGUGUUGAGUUUGGGCCAACACCGCCUUUGGAAGCAAAUGUCUGUAACUUGGAGCGGGUAAGCGCUGUUGAUUUUUCGAGUGAUCAAUUGUCCAUUGCUUCCUCCCGUCAGGAACUAAAUUGGAAGGCUUGCUAUGACAACAUUAAUUAUAACUUAUAACAAACUUAUAUGAGGCAAGCUCCUUGUUUUACAUAAGUACAUAACUGGACCGGACUUUGUGGAUUCCAUUCCAGAUGGAUCGAAGUUAAAUUUUCCAGCUAGUUAAGAUGGUCAAGAUUUUUGAUUGACUGGCACAAUUUUGGGUUUACUUUGCUGGAGCUGAAGGCCUGAAAGGCUGUACCUCAGUCCAUGUAAUGGACAGAUUAAGCCAAAGCUUGUUUACUGGCCAGACCAUGCACAGAUGCCCCCCCCCCUCCACCAAUCAGGUGCAUGCCGACUUAAGGAAAUGGUUCCAAGCAAAUUGUGAGUGCUGAAGUUGCUGAAUCAAUCAGGAUAAUGUAUGGAGGUUCUGUUAGCACAAUAGUAAAAAACCGUGCCGAAAAUAGUGACAAAGCUCGGCACAGUAUUAAAAAAAUGGUGCCAAAUACAGUGCCAAAAUCAGUUUGGCACAGUUUUUAACUCCAUUUCCGUGCAAUUUUACCGUGCCGAUUUAUGAUUUUUCUUGUAAUGUAUUAAAGAUAGAACUGCAUGACUAGGACAAAUUUUUGAUAUCUUAUUCUUCUUAUAGGACUGAGGGGAGGUUGCUUUUUGAUAAUUAAUUUCAGGUUGUAGCCUCUAGCAAAUUCCAUUUAUGCUUUACUUUCACCUGGAUACUGUAAUUGUGCUUUUAACCUGUUUCUACUCUUUUAACUGAUUGAGUAUUACACCUGUCUUUGGAGUUUGGCCUAAUCUUUGCUUUACUUUUUUACUAUGCUUCUUUCUUCUGCAACACAUUCAUACAUAUUUAUAUCAGCCCAGACAUGAAUAUUAAUUAUUUAUGCGAAAUAAUUUAUGAGGCAUUCUUGUAUUUCAUUUUUG